AUGCAGCACCGAGGCUUCCUCCUUCUCACCCUCCUCGCCCUGCUGGCGCUCACCUCCGCAGUAGCCAAAGAGAGCGAGUGUGCCUGGGGGCCCUGCACCCCCAGCAGCAAGGAUUGCCGCGUGGGUUUCCGCGAGGGCACCUGCAGGGCCAGACCUAGCGCACCCGAUGCAGGGUGCCCUGCAACUGGAAGGAGUUUGGAGCCGACUGCAAGUACAAGUUUGAGAACUGGGGUGCGUGUGAUGGGGGCGCAGGCACCAAAGUCCGCCAAGGCAUACUGAAGAAGGCGCGCUGCAAUGCCCAGUGCCAGGAGACCAUCCGCGUCAUGAAGCCCUGCAACCCCAAGACCAAAGCCAAGGCCAAAGCCAAGAAAGGGAAGGGAAAGGACUAGAGGCCAAGCCUGGAUGCCAAGGAACCCCUGGUGUUACAUGGGGCCUGGCCCACGCCCUCCCUCUUCCAGGCCCGAGAUAUGACCCACCAGUGCCUUCUGUCUGCUCCUUACCUUUAAUCAAUCAUUCCCUGCCUUGUCCCUCUCACUCCUCAGCCCCACCCCUAAGUGCCCAAAGUAGGGAGGGACAAGGGAUUCUGGGAAGCCUUAGCCUCCCCCAAAGCAAUGUGAGUCCCAGAGCCCGCUUUUGUUCUUCCCCACAAUUCCAUUACUAAGAAACACAUCAAAUAAACUGACUUUUU